rnacentral:rRNA from 1 species
AACGAACGCUGGCGGCAUGCCUAACACAUGCAAGUCGAACGAGACCUUCGGGUCUAGUGGCGCACGGGUGCGUAACGCGUGGGAAUCUGCCCUUAGGUACGGAAUAACUCAGGGAAACUUGUGCUAAUACCGUAUGAUGUCUUCGGACCAAAGAUUUACCGCCUAGGGAUGAGCCCGCGUAGGAUUAGCUAGUUGGUGGGGUAAAGCCUACCAAGGCUACGAUCCUUAGCUGGUCNGAGAGGAUGAUCA